rnacentral:rRNA from 1 species
CUCGUAGGCGGUUCGUCGCGUCCGGUGUGAAAGUCCAUCGCUUAACGGUGGAUCCGCGCCGGGUACGGGCGGGCUUGAGUGCGGUAGGGGAGACUGGAAUUCCCGGUGUAACGGUGGAAUGUGUAGAUAUCGGGAAGAACACCAAUGGCGAAGGCAGGUCUCUGGGCCGUUACUGACGCUGAGGCUCGAAAGUGUGGGUAGCAAACA